UACGUAGGGGGCAAGCGUUGUCCGGAUUCAUUGGGCGUAAAGAGCGUGUAGGCGGCCAAGCAGGUCCGCUGUGAAAACUCGAGGCUCAACCUCGAGACGUCGGUGGAAACCGUUUGGCUAGAGUCCGGAAGAGGAGAGUGGAAUUCCCGGUGUAGCGGUGAAAUGCGCAGAUAUCGGGAAGAACACCCGUGGCGAAGGCGGCUCUCUGGGACGGUACUGACGCUGAGACGCGAAAGCGUGGGGAGCGAACAGG
rnacentral:rRNA from 1 species